GCUGGCGGCGUGCCUAAUACAUGCAAGUCGAGCGAACGGACGAGAAGCUUGCUUCUCUGAUGUUAGCGGCGGACGGGUGAGUAACACGUGGAUAACCUACCUAUAAGACUGGGAUAACUUCGGGAAACCGGAGCUAAUACCGGAUAAUAUUUUGAACCGCAUGGUUCAAAAGUGAAAGACGGUCUUGCUGUCACUUAUAGAUGGAUCCGCGCUGCAUUAGCUAGUUGGUAAGGUAACGGCUUACCAAGGCAACGAUGCAUAGCCGACCUGAGAGGGUGAUCGGCCACACUGGAACUGAGACACGGUCCAGACUCCUACGGGAGGCAGCAGUAGGGAAUCUUCCGCAAUGGGCGAAGCCUGACGGAGCAACGCCGCGUGAGUGAUGAAGGUCUUCGGAUCGUAAAACUCUGUUAUUAGGGAAGAACAUAUGUGUAAGUAACUGUGCACAUCUUGACGGUACCUAAUCAGAAAGCCACGGCUAACUACGUGCCAGCAGCCGCGGUAAUACGUAGGUGGCAAGCGUUAUCCGGAAUUAUUGGGCGUAAAGCGCGCGUAGGCGGUUUUUUAAGUCUGAUGUGAAAGCCCACGGCUCAACCGUGGAGGGUCAUUGGAAACUGGAAAACUUGAGUGCAGAAGAGGAAAGUGGAAUUCCAUGUGUAGCGGUGAAAUGCGCAGAGAUAUGGAGGAACACCAGUGGCGAAGGCGACUUUCUGGUCUGUAACUGACGCUGAUGUGCGAAAGCG
rnacentral:rRNA from 1 species